AUGAUUUGGAGAAAUUGGCUAAGGGUACACAGCUCUGAGUUACACAGGGUGCCCAAGAACAGAGCUUUUCUUCCUGAUGGCUUAUCUACCGAUCAAAGCAACUUCUACCUCACCAGCAGAUACAGAGGCAACUUCUUCCAUAGAUUUCUUCACCAGUUUUCCUUAGCUGUCUCCUUGGAACAUUUGAAAUCCUCUGGUUCUUUGGCACCCAAAUAUGAAGGUCAUUUCAUCAAAGGCCUAAAAUUUUCAUAGAGAGGAUUUGAGAAAGGUGAUCUCAAUAAAAUACAAAAAAAAAAAGGAAGAAAAGCUACAGUAAAAGAAAUAUUGCUACUUAUAUAUGCAAACGAAGACUGAGGACAACUAUUAUCAGCUUUCUACUCUUAAGAAUUAUUUAAGUUGCUACUCCUACUUCUACAUUUGGACAUUGGUUUACCAUGCCAUUUUUCCUUAUAUAUAUUUAAAAAAUCUCUUAAAAAUUAAAAUGGUAGUAUGCAUGUUUUCAGGCCAAAUAUAUAUUUCCAAACUGUUCUAAAUUUGUUACUACUGUGUUUUUACUCCUGAGUAAUCAAUAACAUUGAGUAAUAAAGACAGAAUUAUUUAUGUAUAAAUAAAAAUUCUCAUGAGAAUUUUUGUCUAUUUUUCCUUUUCUGAGUUGAAAAGCAGCCAUUUUCAACAUAGCUAAUUGUUGCUACAGUAUCAUUUUAAAUUAAUGUGGUACAGUGUAUGCUGAAAUAGCAGUGGAAAAAUAUUUAAGUUUUAACAAUGCUCUACUCAGGUAAAUAUCCCUGCAGGAAUCAAAAUUAAUAAAUAUUAUCUUCAGUAUACAUAAUACAAUAUAAUAUCUUUAAUAGGAGUUGCCAUUUUACUGAAUAUCUUCCAUUUGAUGUUUGUGAAAAGUUUGUUCAUUGACAUAGCUCAAUAAUAUUCCAUUUUACAAAUAUACCACAAUUAAUUAACCUAUCCUUCUGUAGAUAGACAUAUGGGUUUCUUUCCUUAUUAUACAUCAUAUUAAACUUUUAUAUUAUGAACAGUUCAUUGAAUCUAUUGAUCCAUUUGUGGAGAAUUUAUAUCUUUAUGAUAUUGAUUUUUCUUCCUAGAGGUAUAAUAUGCCUUUCCAUUUAUUUGAAUCAUUUUUAAUGUUUUAAAAUUUAGAUACAUUUAAUUAAUGUGUGUGUAUCUGUAUGUAAGCUUACUGCAAUGCUAAACAGGUAAAUAUUCAGAACACUCUGUAAAAAAAAAAAAAAGUUGAACUUCCACCUUAAUUACUGACUUUUUUUUAAUUAAUUGUAAGCAGAAAUGGGAUACUGUUUUCUCUGCCACAUUUCUGUCACCUGUGGUCAUAAUCCCUCGAGCUGUAUAAGGGAAGUUGUCUGUUCAAAUCAUGCAGUGUUCUUAUGUCACAAACCAAAACCUGAGUCUAUUAUGCUGAGCUAAUCUGCUUUGACCUGGGUAAUUUCCAUCCUGGGUUGAUCUGAUCUGCCAGGAGGUUUGGCCGUCAGAUUUUGGUGACUUCUGCUCCUCAGAGAAUUCUCAGAAUCCCAAAUUGCACCCCAUCUCACUAAGAGUGUGGAGAGGAAAAGACAGAAGGAUAGAAAAAGAGAAGGAGGAGGAAAAGGAAGUAUCUAUCUACAUGUUUAUAUCUAUACCUUUAUUUAUACUCACAGUAAAGGACAUUUGUCAGAAUAGCCCCCAAACACUAUUGCCGCACCAACAUCUAUUAAAAUAUAAACCAUCUUUAAUAAAUACUGAGCUGUGUAAAUAUUUAUUUGCAUGCAAAAGAAAAGCUCUUUAGUAUUCUUAAGCCAGACUGAGCAGUCAACAGAUGAUUUUGAUAAAUGUCUGUUCAUUACCUGAACAUUUCCAUUGCAAUAUAAAACAAAGAUUUCAUCUACAUUUUAUUUUUGCUCCAUGAAUGGUUCCACACUUUCUAAUCAGUGUUAUUUUUAAGAUUAAAUUUGGAUAGUAAUGUAAAUAUGGGAGGGGAAUGGGUGUCUAAGAGGAUUUUCUGGUUCAUAGUCAUUAUAAUAGUCACAAUAUACAAGAUAAUUUGUAAGUCUAGGCCCCCUUUUGCUCAGGCAGUCUAAUUCUUUAUGUCCAAGAAUUUUGUCAAAGUAAUGUUCUUCAUGCUAAUAAAUAUAAUAAAAACAUACCCUUUUCUGGUAGUUGUCUUCUUUUAAUAUUAAUAUGUCAUUUUUCUUCAUGAUUCUAAAAACAAAUAUGAACUGCUUUGUAAAUAUUGGUCAAUGAAUACUUCAUGACACUCCCUUUUGAAAGGUGUAUGACUUGACAGCCGCUAUUUAGACAUUUCAUUUAUGUCAUGGGUUUUGUUUUCUAUUUUUGCUGUUGCUGUUGUUUUAAAUCAGGGCUUGAUAUUGAUGGGGCAAGAUUAGGAAGUAAAGAACCACAUAGUUCUCUCUCCUUCAUCUCUUCCUGUGUUAAUAAAUGGUUCCAUGAUCUAAUAAAAGAGCAAACACAGGAAACAAUAAGGGGAAUCAAAAAGUGAAAAUAAAACAAACAAAUCUAGAAACAAGCAAACUUUAUCUUGAGUUUUGUGGACUUCCUGCAGAGAUUUCUCAAUUCCUGUUUCUACUCCAAAUGCAUUCAUGUGACUAGCAUGCUCAGUGAAUUGGGCAUCUUUUGCUCUUUAAAAUUACUUAUUUAAGAAAAAUUUAUGUAUACUCUGAUC
rnacentral:lncRNA from 1 species